CUACGGGUGGCUCCAGUGAGGAAUAUUGCACAAUGGGGGGAACCCUGAUGUAGCAACGCCGCGUGGAGGAUGACGCAUUUCGGUGUGUAAACUCCUUUUAUAUGUCAAGAAAAUGACGGUAGCAUAUGAAUAAGCACCGGCUAACUCCGUGCCAGCAGCCGCGGUAAUACGGAGGGUGCAAGCGUUACUCGGAAUUACUGGGCGUAAAGGACGCGUAGGCGGGUUGGAAAGUCAGGUGUGAAAUCCUACAGCUUAACUGUAGAACUGCACUUGAAACUUCUAAUCUAGAGUAUGGGAGGGGGAGAUGGAAUUAGUGGUUUAGGGGUAAAAUCCGUAGAUAUCACUAGGAGUACCUAAAGCGAAGGCGAUCUCCUGGAACAUUACUGACGCUAAGGCGUGAAAGCGUGGGGAGCAAACAGGAUUAGAUACCCUCGUAGUC
rnacentral:rRNA from 1 species